GGAGUGAAGGCUGCGCCGCCGAGCCUGAGUUUCGCUCUCUCUAGAUUAAAUCUGCGCUUCGCAGUCCCCCUUCUUCCAUCCCCCGGGUCUGGAGGGGUCCCUACAGAUCUUAAAAUGACCACACCGCGCCCUCCACCCCAGAUUAACCUUUAAAGACUCAUGUGGCCUGAGGAAGAAGUCCAGAAGAGAAGAAAGAGGAGACAGGGAUGGCUCUUUCUCAAGGAAGGUUGACAUUCAGGGACGUGGCCAUCGAAUUCUCUCAGGAGGAGUGGAAAUGCCUGGACCCUGCUCAGAGGGCUUUGUACAGGGACGUGAUGUUGGAGAACUACAGGAACCUGGUCUCCCUGGGUGAGGAUAAUGCCCCUCCAGAAGCUGGGAUCUGCUCUGCUGUAUCUCUGCAUGUUCCCUGUGUGCCUCUUGGGAGCCCCUGCAUUGCUCAAUUAAGACUGAAGCUAUGUUAAUUCUCAGAUGAAAAGCUUAAUAGUGCAGCAUCUGGACUUAAUUAUCCCAUUUUCAAAUGAUCUACCUCCUUCAAGAUAUAUCAUUGGUGGUUCCAGAGCUUAAGUAGAAAUAAACCCUAUGGUAGACUUUAAAAAUA
rnacentral:lncRNA from 1 species